GAUGAACGCUGGCGGCGUGCCUAAUACAUGCAAGUCGAGCGAACAGACGAGGAGCUUGCUCCUCUGACGUUAGCGGCGGACGGGUGAGUAACACGUGGAUAACCUACCUAUAAGACUGGGAUAACUUCGGGAAACCGGAGCUAAUACCGGAUAAUAUAUUGAACCGCAUGGUUCAAUAGUGAAAGACGGUUUUGCUGUCACUUAUAGAUGGAUCCGCGCCGCAUUAGCUAGUUGGUAAGGUAACGGCUUACCAAGGCAACGAUGCGUAGCCGACCUGAGAGGGUGAUCGACCACACUGGAACGGGGCCACGGCCCAGACUCCUACGGGAGGAAGCAGUAGGGAAUCUUCCGCAAUGGGCGAAAGCCUGACGGAGCAACGCAGCGUGAGUGAUGAAGGUCUUCGCAUCGUAAACCUCUGUUAUUAGGGAAGAACAAAUGUGUAAGUAACUAUGCACGUCUUGACGGUACCUAAUCAGAAAGCCACGGCUAACUACGUG
rnacentral:rRNA from 1 species